CCUACGGGUGGCAGCAGUGAGGAAUAUUGGUCAAUGGCCGAAAGUCUGAACCAGCCAUGCCGCGUGCAGGAAGACGGCCCUAUGAGUUGUAAACUGCUUUUGUACGGGGGUAAACGCAGAUACGCGUAUCUGUCUGAGAGUAUCGUACGAAUAAGCAUCGGCUAACUCCGUGCCAGCAGCCGCGGUAAUACGGAGGAUUCAAGCGUUAUCCGGAUUUAUUGGGUUUAAAGGGUGCGUAGGCGGUCGGAUAAGUUAGAGGUGCAAUCCCGGGGCUCAACUUCGGAAUUGCCUCUGAUACUGUUCGUCUAGAGAGUAGUUGCGGUAGGCGGAAUGCAUGGUGUAGCGGUGAAAUGCUGAGAGAUCAUGCAGAACACCGAUUGCGAAGGCAGCUUACCAAGCUACUACUGACGUUGAGGCACGAAAGCGUGGGGAGCAAACAGGAUUAGAUACCCGAGUAGUC
rnacentral:rRNA from 1 species